GUGCUGCCGUGCAUUGUCUCCGUUCGCGCUUGCCGUGCCGCGCGCCCGCACUUUGCAAAGGAUUCAACGGGUCGGUUUCGUGCGCACAUCGCAUUCUCUGUGUGUUCCUGCGUUUAUGGCUCAGCUUCGUUUUGGUGCUUUCAGACAUUCACGUACUAAUCACAGACAUGGGAAGACUAUAAGACGUCAAGAUGAAAGGCUCCUAGCAGCUCUCAGUGUUCCCAACGAAACUGGCAGAAUGGCAGUGGCUGAUUACAAGCUGCCUUUGGUGAACAAAGAAACCGUGACCACAUUAGAAUCCGAGCAGAGCUCCAAUCCUGCAUUCUGAUGACACCUUACACAACGGCUCUCUGUUAUGGGGGGCUGGUACUUAAGAAGCUUUACUGCAGGCAUCCUACCCACUAUUUUUAGACAGUUUGGGUGGAAACUUAAGCUAGACUUUAGGCCAGCGGCGGAAAAAGAGCGUCAGGGACGUGCAUGUCUACAGUGUCAUGGAAGAUGCUUCAAAGGAUACUGGACCUGCCGCCAGCUGACAUGCGUUUCUUCCUCCUUAGUUCUGUUAAGAUGUGGGUUCAGUUUUACUAGACAUGCAAUCCAUAAUAUAUGCAGUCUAGUCAAUCAGUGCACGACAUUACAUGCCAUUCAUUUCCUAUGUAUAUAUUUAGUCAGAAUCAAAGCAGGACAAGCACAUGUACAUAAUU
rnacentral:lncRNA from 1 species